AACAUUUACAGGAAUACUUUGGGAGAAUGUCUUGAUCGGAAUAGUUACAGCGAUCCGGGCAGGUGCACUACUACAUCAUAACUACAGGGAAACAACUAUGUAGUGCGGUGCCCGACUGAUUGUAAACUAUUUACUAUUUAUGUACAGCUCACAAGACCAAGCAACGUAUGACUCUAGAUAAUGAAAAGUGCUCCGGGGGUCGUGGCUGUCGCAGUUUAAUUCGGUACGUGCGUGUCUGAUCCCAAGGCUCCAGGGAUUCCAGAAAGAGCCGCACCACUCCCCCUCCCCUGUUACUGCAGCAACUCACCCAUCCAGUUUCUCUACAACAUCAGUGCUCCUGUCCAGAGGAUAUACGAUUUACUGAAAUAAGGCGCAGUUAUGCUGGAUAUAUUUUUCUUAAUGUUUUUUGCCAUUAUCGGUCUAGUGGUCUUGUCUUACAUUAUCUAUAUCCUAUGACCAGAGAUGUUUCGGAGAGGAAGGGCGAUGUGGCUCGGAGUAAGUCCUUAUCCAACCGUGUCUUCGCUCACUUUAUUUUCUGCAAAAGUGCUGUUGGUUCGGUGUUUGUACUGGCCGCAGUUUGCAAAUAAUUCUCCUUAAUUGGGGCUGGCAAAAUUGCUUUCAACUUGCUUGUCCUUGAUUUCAAGACCAGAAAUUACAUGCUUUCUUUUGUGAGGAUGUGCAACAAUCAGCGAACUACAAAGCUGCUAUCCUUGCAGGAGUAGCCCUUCACUAGAUGACAUUCUCUUCUACUGCUGCAAGCUGUGGCGACUGCCAAACCCCGAACCUAAUACCAUGGACAGCUCCACGUCCGGCCUCAAACAACGUCCUUCCGUAAAGAGGUCACGGUCAUUGGGCACUUUUUAUUCUACAAUUGCUGGCAGAUUGAUGCAUGUGUAUCUUUAUUUUUUAAAUAAAAAGGAUAUUAUGUGAUAGGCGAACCAUUUCCACUUUCAAACAACGCCGAAGAUUAAUCGAAGGCCUGCAAAGUGAAAGGUUAGAAGAAGACAAGGUCUCCUCCUCUUUAGACUUUCUUUUCAGACCAGUAAUGGAAUGCAUACUGGGAACCUUCCCUUUGGACCUGUACCAACAUGCAUCAACUGUCUUUACACAACUUCUGCUCGUUCUGGGACAUAUUAGCUACUGAUGUCUUAUGACCGUAGGACUUUUUAUAGUUUUCCACUGGCAGCCAAGUCACAGCAUGUGGAGAAGAGAACAUGACAAACUAAAUGACAAUAACAUAGGCCCUUGUUCAGCAGAAGAAAAUAUUUUCAUCCACUUGUACUACGUACUUUUUGUAAAACAGUAUUUAAUGGAACUUUAAUCAGCAAAUUUCCUGGUCCCUGAACUGCAUGUAUGGUACUUAAUAGGAUCUGUUGUACUAUUCAAGUCUUUCUGGUUAUUAAAUGUAGCUGUCCAUUUUACUCUUCAAUGAUUACUAUGCUACCAGGAGUGCUGCUACAUUAUAUAUGAAAAUUCUCUGGUUUCAUGGCAUUACCAAUAAAUAUUAUGACUAUUAAA